rnacentral:rRNA from 1 species
GACGAACGCUGGCGGCGUGCUUAACACAUGCAAGUCGAACGGAAAGGCCCUGCUUUUGUGGGGUGCUCGAGUGGCGAACGGGUGAGUAACACGUGAGUAACCUGCCCUUGACUUUGGGAUAACUUCAGGAAACUGGGGCUAAUACCGGAUAGGAGCUCCUGCUGCAUGGUGGGGGUUGGAAAGUUUCGGCGGUUGGGGAUGGACUCGCGGCUUAUCAGCUUGUUGGUGGGGUAGUGGCUUACCAAGGCUUUGACGGGUAGCCGGCCUGAGAGGGUGACCGGCCACAUUGGGACUGAGAUACGGCCCAGACUCCUACGGGAGGCAGCAGUGGGGAAUAUUGCACAAUGGGCGGAAGCCUGAUGCAGCAACGCCGCGUGCGGGAUGACGGCCUUCGGGUUGUAAACCGCUUUCGCCUGUGACGAAGCGUGAGUGACGGUAAUGGGUAAAGAAGCACCGGCUAACUACGUGCCAGCAGCCGCGGUGAUACGUAGGGUGCGAGCGUUGUCCGGAUUUAUUGGGCGUAAAGGGCUCGUAGGUGGUUGAUCGCGUCGGAAGUGUAAUCUUGGGGCUUAACCCUGAGCGUGCUUUCGAUACGGGUUGACUUGAGGAAGGUAGGGGAGAAUGGAAUUCCUGGUGGAGCGGUGGAAUGCGCAGACAUCAGGAGGAACACCAGUGGCGAAGGCGGUUCUCUGGGCCUUUCCUGACGCUGAGGAGCGAAAGCGUGGGGAGCGAACAGGCUUAGAUACCCUGGUAGUCCGCGCUGUAAACGGUGGGUACUAGGUGUGGGGUCCAUUCCACGGGUUCCGUGCCGUAGCUAACGCUUUAAGUACCCCGCCUGGGGAGUACGGCCGCAAGGCUAGAACUCAAAGGAAUUGACGGGGCCCCGCACAAGCGGCGGAGCAUGCGGAUUAAUUCGAUGCAACGCGUAGAACCUUACCUGGGUUUGACAUGGAUCGGGAGUGCUCAGAGAUGGGUGUGCCUCUUUUGGGGUCGGUUCACAGGUGGUGCAUGGCUGUCGUCAGCUCGUGUCGUGAGAUGUUGGGUUAAGUCCCGCAACGAGCGCAACCCUUGUUCACUGUUGCCAGCACGUUAUGGUGGGGACUCAGUGGAGACCGCCGGGGUCAACUCGGAGGAAGGUGGGGAUGACGUCAAGUCAUCAUGCCCCUUAUGUCCAGGGCUUCACGCAUGCUACAAUGGCUGGUACAGAGAGUGGCGAGCCUGUGAGGGUGAGCGAAUCUCGGAAAGCCGGUCUCAGUUCGGAUUGGGGUCUGCAACUCGACCUCAUGAAGUCGGAGUCGCUAGUAAUCGCAGAUCAGCAACGCUGCGGUGAAUACGUUCCCGGGGCU